rnacentral:sRNA from 1 species
CCUAUGUCGUCUCGGUGCUACAAGGAUGAGAAGCAUUCACAGACCUGAUCCGAUCCCCUAGGGGAACCGAGGACAACUUUUAUUGCCUAUUCUCUCUGAGUACUAGCACCGAGAUCGCAUUUCUGUGAGACAUUCUAACC